rnacentral:rRNA from 1 species
GAGUUUGAUCAUGGCUCAGAACGAACGCUGGCGGCGUGGAUAAGACAUGCAAGUCGAACGGGAGAAUUGCUAGCUUGCUAAUAAUUCUCUAGCGGCGCACGGGUGAGUAACACGUGAGUAACCUGCCCCCGGAGAGCGGGAUAGCCCUGGGAAACUGGAUUAAUACCGCAUAGUAUCGAAAGAUUUAAAGCAGCAAUGCGCUUUGGGGAUGGGCUCGCGGCCUAUUAGUUAGUUGGUGAGGUAACGGCUCACCCAAGGCGAUGACGGGUAGCCGGUCUGAG